rnacentral:rRNA from 1 species
GAUGAACGCUGGCGGCGUGCCUAAUACAUGCAAGUCGAGCGAACGGACGAGAAGCUUGCUUCUCUGAUGUUAGCGGCGGACGGGUGAGUAACACGUGGAUAACCUACCUAUAAGACUGGGAUAACUUCGGGAAACCGUAGCUAAUACCGGAUAAUAUUUUGAACCGCAUGGUUCAAAAGUGAAAGACGGUCUUGCUGUCACUUAUAGAUGGAUCCGCGCUGCAUUAGCUAGUUGGUAAGGUAACGGCUUACCAAGGCAACGAUGCAUAGCCGACCUGAGAGGGUGGUCGGCCACACGGGAAGUGAGACACGGUCCAGACUCCUACGGGAGGCAGCAGUAGGGAAUCUUACGCAAUGGGCGAAAGCCUGACGGAGCAACGCCGCGUGAGUGAUGAAGGUCUUCGGAUCGUAAAACUCUGUUAUUAGGGAAGAACAUAUGUGUAAGUAACUGUGCACAUCUUGACGGUACCUAAUCAGAAAGCCACGGCUAACUACGUG